GUCCCCAUAGCUCAAAGCACAGAGCGGGCGCGUCCUAAGCGUCAGGUUGUCGGUGAGAGUCCGGCUGGGGACACCA
rnacentral:tRNA from 1 species